UUUUUACAACUUGGAAAAAUAGGUAGUGUUCUAACAUAUGAGUUUAAUGGUAGUCAUCUUUUCCUUCUGUUUUUCACCCUAACAUCAGUUGUAUGAAUUUAUCUUUGGAUAUACCAUUAGAAUGGUUGGGCAGGCGGCUUUAGUGAGCAACAAAUGCUUUUGACCUUGGAUUGCAUUAGAGGUGGCAAAUGGGUUGAUUUAGUGGGUAAUGGAUCAAUAAUGGGCUGGUAAUAAAUGGAUAAUAUUAAAUGGGUUGAAUAUGGAUAAUUUUAAAUGGAUACGGGUUAAACCUAUCAACCCAUAUAGAAACC
rnacentral:lncRNA from 1 species